UUAAAUAUUCUUGGAAGAGAUCUUUCAAAAACUAUAAUAAUUGACAACUCACCACAAGCCUUUGCAUAUCAGGUAAAAUAUAAGUAAAAGAGGAUUUAAUUACUUAUUUAUUGUUUUAGCUUUCUAAUGGAAUCCCUAUAGAAAGUUGGUUUAUGGAUAAAAAUGACAAUGAACUCCUAAAAUUGAUUCCAUUCCUGGAGAAGCUUGUAGAACUGAAUGAAGAUGUUCGACCACACAUCAGAGACAGAUUUCGCUUGCAUGAUUUGCUGCCCCCAGAUUAAGUACAAAGACUUGUCAAAUCACUGAAGGGGGAGAGAAUGCAGGACCCUUUUGGACUAAGACAAAAACAUUGCCAUUACUGUUGAAAUUUUGCAUUUUUGUACCCCGUCUUGCUUUUCUUAUCUUUGGUGCCCAAUAAUAAUCAAGGGUUACAGAAAGAGACUUUAUCUAUCUCAGAUCGAAUACAUAUAGUAGGUAGGCUAAAACAGAAGAGUCUUUAGAACUAGUGCAACUCCAGUGAAAUUUUUUAUGUACAGGACAUCU
rnacentral:sRNA from 1 species